UCCCUCUUCAAAUUGUUCAAGUUUCCAAUCUCUCUUUCAAACUCAUCUCGGUUCUGUACUUUCUGGACAACAGUUGGGUCAUAAAUUCUGCUUCUCUGACCUUUCCUGUUUCUUUUCGUUUCUGGGUUACCUGUGCCAUUAACUUCAAUGGAGAACCUGCAAGAAACGCCUAAAAGGGAGCAAAUGAAAUCCGAAGCCACCAUAUUUGAGAGCUGCAAUACACCACCUCAGGAUCAAAAAAGUGAUCCUAAAUCUUUAAAUUCGAGCAGUGAUU
rnacentral:misc_RNA from 1 species